AUGACGUUAAGGUGUGGCAAUGGCGGCAUGCAUGUCUAGGAUUGGAUCCGAAGGGAGCUUGGUACUUAAGCAGUCCGAUGGACUCACCACCUCUUUUCCGGUUUCCUACCUGGUGCACAGCUUCCAUUCACUCUAACCUAUAAUGAAAUUAUCUUUUAAAACACUAAAUAGGUUUUUCUGGAUCAACAACAUAAAAUGUUUUGAACGCUUCGAUGUGGCAUGUCGGAUCCGGCCAUAACGUCUGGGCCGGGUUUGGGGUGUUACAUUUAGUGGUAUCAGAGCCUAGGUUGCAACAAC
rnacentral:lncRNA from 1 species